rnacentral:tRNA from 5 species
CCGGAAUAGCUCAGUUGGUAGAGCAGAGGACUGAAAAUCCU